GCCCGGAGGGCGAGGGCGCGUUCGCUCUGGGCGCGCUCGGGCCAGGCCCGCCUACCCUGGUUUUGCUUUUCGCUUUCGCUUUGCAGCUUCUCUACAGAGAAACAAAGGGGCCGCGACGACUGGAGAUGCGGCCGCGGUCAGGGGAGCCGAGCGGCCUGAACCCCGGGCCCGGGCCGGCAGGCAAGAUGGCAGCAUGUCCUGGGCCUCCUUGUGAUAUCAAGAAGCUGGACAGCUGAGAAAGAAGAAAAUGGACUCCCUCCUUCUGAAGACUUGCUUGAAAGCCAGCCACGAGUGCUAGAGCAUGCAGCCGCUCAGAUGAGAGCAACAUGGAGGUCUCUGGAAUCAAUCCUGAUGACUUAGUGACAGGAGCUUUGUCACAGAGCCAUCUCUGCAGCCCUCAUAAAUGCUUCUUAGAGAGGACAACAGGAGGGCCUAGUGCCAACCUAUAUCUAUGUUUUCUGGUACAGGUAGGUGUGUGCGAGUGGCUGUGGCUUUGGUGUGGAAUGACCCAUGCCCUGUGAGAACAAAAUGGAGCUGUGGUGGUAGUCACAUUGGCCAUUGUUGCUAUGGGCUCUGCAACCUAUUAUUAUGCUUUUAAAGAUGUAUUUUGUGUGUGUGCGCGUGGAGGGGGGUGAUUGUGUGUGUGUGUUUGUGUAUCUUGACCCCUGAACCAUCUCUCCAGCCCCCAUUUACAUUUCACAAGCCAUAAUGCAUACAGAGCUCAAAUAAAACAAGUUUUUCAAAGUCUACUGAAGUCUGGCUUUGGUGGUAGCUGCUACAGAGGUGGGUUAAGCCCCAAAUGUCAAAACAAGAAGCAACAGUAAAUUAAGGUAUGCUUUACUUUCAAAAGAGAGAAGCUGGAGAUGCUAUUUGAUCAAUUAUUCUCCUACCUCACCUGGACAGAGGAGACACUCUCUAGGUGGCAGCUGAUGGCAGCUGAGUCAGGAAGACAAGACUGCUGAGAUGACCCAGUGGAUGGCACUGGCUGCCAAACCUCAUGGCCUAAGCUGCAUCCCUAGGAUCCACAUGGCAGGAGGAGAGGACCAACCCCCAGAAGUUGUCCUCUGACUAUCAUGGAGUGUGUACACACACACACACACACACACACACACACACACACACAUAAAGUAUAAUUUGGAAAUUAAAAAAAUGAGACCAUUAAACACCAACAAUGAGCCCGGUGGUGUUGGCACACACCUUUAAUCCCAGCACUCAGGAGGCAGAGGCAGGUGGAUCUAUGUGAGUUCAAGGCCACCCUACUUCCAGGACAGCAAGAACUACACAGAGAAACCCUGGCUCAAAAAAACAAAAAUGAAUAAAAUAAACCAACCAUCAAUAAAGCUAAAGAUUUACUAGAUGGUCAGGCUAAAAACAAAGUAAUUGUGUUGUUAAUUUAGCUUAAGUAAGUCUAUGUGUGUGGGCACCAAUAUUUGUAAUAAAAUACCUCAGAACUACAAGGAAGGAGGCGAUUAACAGCAACAGGAAGGGUAGUGUCACACUGGUCAGCAGGAAUUGCCAUUGUGAUAUUUAUAGACAGCAGACGAGGUGACAUAUGGAUGAAUGAGAUUCCAGCCAGGGGCAUUGAAGGCAAAGCCUCAGGGCUCAGGCCUUUUUACUAUGCCUAGUGCUAUGGACCUUCAGGCCUCCUAAGCAGAGGAAAAGGCCUGGACCAUCAUUCACAUCUCACGGGGGAGGGGACCAGAGCCAGGGGAAGAGGGGUUGUGCAGCCUCAUGGUGAGAUCCAGUCCACCACUCCUGCUGUAGCCACACAUCUCCCACCUCCACGGAGGGCCAUUUCAACCCUUGAGUGACAUAGCUUCUAUCCGUUUUAAUUUAUUCUCUUGCAUCCCACACCACUCUGAGUCCUUUGGUCAAGUGCAUCCAUUCAAGACGCCCCCACCCCCACCCCCCAGCAUCCCUGUCUAGCAGAAGCAAGGAAGCCUCAAGCUCCUUCCAGUACGCUAUGUGAACUCAACCCUGCAAGGCAGAUCAGAGGCACUGCUGCAAGAUCUAGCUUUUAGUUCAGCCCUCUCACUGUGCAUGGAAGAGACCCCACGGCUUGGAACCCAAGCACAGCCUGUCUGCAUAGCUCCCUCCCACAACAGGAGGUUCACAUUUCCAGAGAGACAGAUGGGGCUCAGGUAGGCAGAACACCUGUGUGUGAGCCUGUGUCCUGUCUCAUCAUGUCUAAGUUGCCUGUAGUUUGACCAGAGUAUACUAGAAGCCAGCCAUUUCUUAGGGAGAUUGGCACCAACCUCAUGGAAUGUUCAGGAAGUUCCCAGCUCUGCUCUUAAAACCAAGCCCAAUGUGGUCCUCAGUAAGAUGUUGCAAGUUCCUAAACUGGACACAGAGGCCAAGAGCUGUGUGGCCUGGAAAUUAGAGCUGGCUAUUACCCAUCAACACAGACACCCUGAGUCAGCCUUCCUCUUCCCUCUGCUAAGGUUGUCAGAGCCUCAGCAAUGCUCCUGCCCUAGGGAAGCCCAGCUGCCACCUCUCUGAGUGACUUAAUAGCUGUGAGUGAUUCCCUGGGCAGAGUGGGUGGGGCCUACCAUGUUCCCAUUACACACCAUUUCACCUGAUGCAACUGCUUUCGGAAGACACUGCCAUGAAAGAAGCACAUUGCAACAGCAUGCUGUAAUACCUAUCCCACCAGCAUCUCUACCACACCGCAUGGAUACACUGCACUCUGCUGGAAGUGUCCCUCAUCAGGACUGCUGGAAGCCUUUAAAAUAUUUGUCGGGGCCAAUGGGAUAGCUCAGCAUAUGAAGGCAUUUGCCACUAAGCCUGACUACCUGAGUUCAGUCCCCAGGUCCUACAUGGGGGAAGGGGAAAACCAUUCCCUCAAAUUAUCAUAUGACUUCCACGUACGUGCCCUAGCAUGCAUUCCCCUUGCAUGCAUGCAAAACUAAAUGUAAAACAAAGGAAUUUUUCUUAUUUCUGUGUAUGUGUGUGUUCAUGUAUACCAUGUGUGUGUGCACACAGGUGCCCAUGGAAUUUAAAGGAGUGCCUCGGAUCCCCUGGAACUGGAGUUAUAAGCAGUCAAACCUGGGCCCUCUGCAGGAGUAGGAAAUGCUCUUACCUGCUGAGCCAUCUUUCGAGCUCUGACUUGAGGCAUCUCAGUGGAUCGGCUUCUUCAGUAUAUUUGAAACUUCUGGUGCCUGGAUCUCUCCCUGACCCCAAAGAUUCCAAAGAGAUUGAUGUGAGUUAAAAUAAAUAAAUACAAAGUUUGUAUUAAAGGAUGACAUAAACAACAACAAAAAAGCACAAGGCAUAUAUAUAAAUCGAUCUUAUUUCCUCAAGUGAACUCAGCCUUUUGAGUAACCAGCAUUUGAGAUGACUAUCACCAGUAUCCCUUGUUACCAGUCAUAACUGUGGUCUGCGUCAGGCAUGUUAAUGGAGUCACAGCUGGAUACAGCAGCUCCCCCACCCCAAUCCCAGCACUUGGGAGCUAGGAGCAGUAAGAUCACUGUAAACCAGGCUGGCCUCGAACUCAGGAAAUCCACCUGCCUCUGCCUCCCUAGUAAUGGGAUUAAAGGCAUACGCCACCACUACCCAGCUGGUCAGCAUUAUAACAGGAAAAAGUAUCUACUGCAUAGAGAGUUCGAGGUCAGCCUAGGCUCCAUUAGCUCUACCUCAAAAAACAAAACAAACAAACAAACAAACAAGAAACCAUAAUGGAUAAGUCAUUGACUCAAACAGGAUCUAUCUUUUGUUUCUGGCUCCUUCUGCUCCGUGACAAGUUUGUGAGAUGACUCAUCCAAGUUGUUGCCUAUUAUUGUUAUGACUUGUUCAAACAAUUUUUUUUUUAAAGUUUUUGGACAGGGGCUCACCGAGUAACCCAGACCGGAUAUAAACUCACAGAGAUCUAUCUGCCUUUGCCUCCUGAGUGCUGGGAUUAAAAGGCAUGUGCCACCACACCCAGCUGCUUUGUUCAAUCUUAAACCACGAGUUGCACUCAGUGGCUCUCUAUCCCUCAGUUUAUCUGAUCUUUCUACAGCUGAGAGGUGUUACUGGGUGGAUGUUCUGGUGUGGUUGGUCAUCAAGGGCAUGUAUGUGUCUGUUGCGUAUAUGCUUGAAAGUAGAAUCAUACUCCCCCCACCUGUGUGUGUGGAGAGUUCAUCACAUCUUUGCCAACAGUUGGUUUUUCUGAUUUUUUUUUUCAUGUUUCCUGGUCUAGUGGGUGUGCAGUGGUAUCAUAAUCACAAUGUGGUUUUAAUUUGCAUUUCCCUGGUGACUAAUGUAGUUGAAUACCUUUUUGUAUGCCAGUAGCCAUUUAGAACUCUCUGGAAAUAAUCUGUUGAAAUAUCUGGAUAUGAACAACUCUCUUCCUUUUUGAGACAGGGUCUUAUGUAGCCCAGGCUAGCCUUCAAACUUGAUACAUAGCCAAGAUUGACCUAGAACUCCUGAUCCUCCUGCCUCCGCUCUCCAAGUGCUGGUAGGUAUCACAGGUGUCAGCCACCACACCCAGUUUUUCUGCAGUGCUGAGGAAUGAAACACA
ensembl:lncRNA